GAACAAUGGGCAGGCGGCUGCGGAGGCCGCCCCUCAGACAGCUGGCUUUCAGCCGGACUUGCCGGGUCUGCUAACUGGAAAGUGAGGCGUGCAGAGGCAAGCGGGAGACCCGGGGCAGAGGCGGAGAGAAGCGGCCGGGGACGGCGAGGCGAGCCCGCUGGCUGCAGCGUCCCUGACCCGCGCCGGCCCAAGCCUCCGCCACUGACAGCUACACCGCUGCAGCUGGCGAGUUGGAGCAAAGCGGGAUCACCAAGCCUGGGGAUGGACCGGGGAAAGGGGUGGAAUCCAGCCUACACAACAGCCCGAAGGGAGCGGACGGAAUAAAGAGCUCGGUCUCCCCGGCC
rnacentral:lncRNA from 1 species